UGGAGCAGUUGGUAGCUCGUCGGGCUCAUAACCCGAAGGUCAUAGGUUCGAGUCCUGUUCCCGCUA
rnacentral:tRNA from 15 species